rnacentral:misc_RNA from 1 species
GUAUUACUUCCGUCAUCAUCAACUCCUUUCUUUCUAAAAUUUCUCUUUCUUAUAUUACUGUCCUGGCUUUCACCCAUAUGUCGUCCCAAUCUAAAUGUCAGCCUCCUAGGGCUGCUGGUUUCUGGCUGGAGAUCAAUUACCUUACCCCUCCUGAAUUUCAGUUUCACCACUGAAGGAUUUUGAUCAUUAGAAACAGCUGUCUUGCCUUUCCUCAAUGUCUUUUUCUGAUUUUUCCCAUCAGUUUCUGCCUCUGCUAUGUGUAACAACUUUUUGCUGCUAGAUGUGUAUUUACCUGAUGCACUGCCUGCAGACUUAGCAACUUUUUUAUCCACUUCAGUAGACAACAAAUGUGAUUGUGACUGGGAGGCAGACUUUGGUUUGUUCGUUCCAUCUCUCCGCAUCUUGUUCUGGUCCUUCAGCGGAGACAGCAGUUUAAGGCUUAUACUGUUUCUUGCCCUCAAGAUCAAAGGUUUAACAGAGGAAGAUUUUGGAGAACAUGAAUGAGUUGGGAUCUUCAAAGACUUCUCCCCAGAUACUUUAGACACAAUUUUUUGUUUUCUAGAAUUAACAGCGCCG